CAACCCUCAGGCCCUGCCUGGCGAUGGGGAUCCCGCGGCCCAGCGCCGUGGGGCCCUGAAAAGCAGCGGCGGGCUCUGCUGAAACCCGAGCGUAGUAAUCUCUCUCGCUUAGGGGACCGGCAGGCGCCUUGCCUCACUCUCUAUUUUCUAAU
rnacentral:misc_RNA from 1 species